UUGCUGCUUUGCUGACGAGUGGCUGACGGGUGAGUAAUGUCUGGGAAACUGCCUGAUGGAGGGGGAUAACUACUGGAAACGGUAGCUAAUACCGCAUAACGUCGCAAGACCAAAGAGGGGGACCUUAGGGCCUCUUGCCAUCGGAUGUGCCCAGAUGGGAUUAGCUAGUAGGUGGGGUAACGGCUCACCUAGGCGACGAUCCCUAGCUGGUCUGAGAGGAUGACCAGCCACACUGGAACUGAGACACGGUCCAGACUCCUACGGGAGGCAGCAGUGGGGAAUAUUGCACAAUGGGCGCAAGCCUGAUGCAGCCAUGCCGCGUGUAUGAAGAAGGCCUUCGGGUUGUAAAGUACUUUCAGCGGGGAGGAAGGGAGUAAAGUUAAUACCUUUGCUCAUUGACGUUACCCGCAGAAGAAGCACCGGCUAACUCCGUGCCAGCAGCCGCGGUAAUACGGAGGGUGCAAGCGUUAAUCGGAAUUACUGGGCGUAAAGCGCACGCAGGCGGGUUUGUAAAGUCAGAUGUGAAAUCCCCGGGCUCAACCUGGGAACUGCAUCUGAUACUGGCAAGCUUGAGUCU
rnacentral:rRNA from 1 species